AACGAACGCUGGCGGCAUGCCUAACACAUGCAAGUCGACCGAGACCUUCGGGUCUAGUGGCGCACGGGUGCGUAACGCGUGGGAACCUGCCCUUAGGUUCGGAAUAACUCCCCGAAAGGGGUGCUAAUACCGGAUAAUGUCUUCGGACCAAAGAUUUAUCGCCUUUGGAUGUGCCCGCGUUGGAUUAGCUAGUUGGUAGGGUAAAAGCCUACCAAGGCGACGAUCCAUAGAUGGUCAGAGAGGAUGAUCAGCCACACUGGGACUGAGACACGGCCCAGGAUCCUGCGGGAGGCAGCAGUGGAGAAUAUUGGAAAAUGGACGAAAGGCUGAUCCAGCAAUGCCGGGUGAGUGAUGAAGGCCUUAGGGUUGUAAAGCACUUUUACCCGGGAUGAUAAUGACAGUACCGGGAGAAUAAGCUCCGGCUAACUCCGUG
rnacentral:rRNA from 1 species